CGCCGAACGGAAACCGCUAAUAAUCUCACGAGUCGCGCGAAGCUGGACGAGAAAUGCUAAAGUGUGAUGAGUGAUUUGGAAUAGUUCGUGAAGAUCGAGUAAUCGAGUCGGAAAUUAGAUUACAACUUUCUACGAUACUCUCAUUCACUCUCGGGAAAUGUGAUUUUCUAGCAUGAUCAAGUCGCACGCGCGAGUCUUGAAAGAAAUGCGAAGCGUGGCAAUAUUAUCAACGAGUAAAUAUUUCAGGCAGUGCUAAAUCCUAAUAUCGCCUUAAACCCGUGUGAAGAGAUUGCCGAUCAAUCGCGACAGAGUAAAUCGAACGCUAUCGGAAGCUCGAAGGUGAUCUCCGGCACCCUCUCGUCGAUCGACGAGAAUCCUCCUGUGAAGUGACAGUCGGUGACGGUCGGUGAGCGAAGCAGCCGUGAUAUGUUCCCCUCGUCAGCGGCGAUGCUGAAAAAUCUGCAACAAAGUGCCAUGACCUCACCGUUUCUGAUGGAGAACCUGCUCCAGAGUAAGGCGUCGCCAGGAACGGAUCUCACCAGUCUGACCUUGAACUGGGCGGCGAGUCUGGUGGCGCGGCAGCGCGAGCGAGAAUGCGAGGCGAACCUCCGACUCGCUCGCGACAGAUCCUCGCCGAACGAUCUCGGCCAGGAUCAUCUGGAGCAGCGGCCGGGCUCGAUCGGCGCCCGCGAUCGCAUGAUGAUCGAUUGCGGCGGCAGGGAUCAGCCGAGAUCCGGCGGCGGCAGACCCGGCGAGCGGCAGCACGACAGGAUGCAGCUCCUUCAGCGCGACAAGGAGGUCCUAGACAACAGGGGCCAGAGCGUGUACGUGGACAUGGAGAAUGAGAGGAUGGAGGGCCCGGUGGUGGUGGACCGGCUGUGCGCGAUGGAGAGGCUCUGCAACGAGAGAAUCGACAAUCGAUCCAACUCAGGCGUGGAGUCGUGCAACUCGAACGUCGACGAGGAUCCGAUUCCGGGCGCGGAGCUGGAUGGCGGUCUCCAGCCGGCCGACAGGGACGAGAUGGUGCUCGGCGAGCGCGUCUCCGCGAUCGAGAUAGACAGACGGUACGACCUUGGAUGCAGAAACGUCAUGCACACGUCCGACGAGAUGACGAUUGCGUCGGGGGAGAGGGAGACGGCGGUGACGGCGGCGGCGGCGGCAGCGGCGGCAGCGGCGGUCGAGCGUGCCGUCGACAGAAUAGGCGAGAGGACCACCGCCUCCUGCUCCUGCGGCGACGAGCAGUGCUCAGGACCGGCGUGCAGGACCAUCCAGGAGAAGGAGAAGCCGCAGCUCAAGUUCAGCGUUAGCGCUAUACUCGGUGGCAAUCACGACAGGAGGCCGCAUCCCGAUAAUUUUCAAGGACUUCCGCCGGAAGCGAUACCCGCCUUCCUGCAAAAUCUGCAAAACUCUGCGGGCUACAAUAUCGCCAAGCCGAUUGCGAGGCCGGCGGCUUAUCAUCCUUAUCACCACCGGCCGAGUCACCAAACCCCUCAACGACAUUUACCACCGAAUGCUCACACGCUGCAGCAAUUGUUUUACAGAGGUCCAUAUUUGACAGUUGCUAGUUCCGGAACCGGCAAUCAUCAUCCCGGCACGCCCGGCGGAGGCGCCGUAUUUCCGGGAGCCAUUCAGGGCAGUAUCGGUGAUUUUUCCGGGACCGGUCUGGUUUUUCCAUGGGCGACGAACGCGCGCGGAAAGCCGCGCCGUGGAAUGAUGAGGAGAGCCGUUUUCUCGGAUCUCCAGCGACGCGGGCUUGAAAAGAGGUUCCAGAUACAAAAGUACAUCAGCAAACCGGAUCGCAAGAAGCUCGCGGAAAAAUUAGGUCUCAAGGAUUCGCAGGUGAAGAUCUGGUUCCAAAAUCGGCGCAUGAAGUGGCGGAACAGCAAAGAGCGAGAGUUACUGGCGACCGGCGGUUCGCGCGAGCAAACGUUACCGAAUAAGAACAACCCGAAUCCGGAUCUGAGCGACGCCGACGGCGACCGGCCGCGGAUGGAUCUGAGCGAUGUGAGUCCGCUCACGAGCCCUCAGAGACCCGAAGAGCAAACGGAGAACGAGGAGGACGAGGAGAUCAAUGUCACGUGAUAAAGCUCGCCGCUGGACGCAGCAAUCCUUCGUUCGCAUCUCGACGAAGUAGCGACAAUUCUUAAUUCAUGAAUCAGAGAGGAUACCAGCUGGACCAAAAACAGAUUUGAACAAAGCAGAUCAAGUAGGCGAUUGAAAAAAAAAAAUUGAUAAAAUUUAAUUCAACGAUAAGUAUCUUCCGUUUCAACGCGCAUGUUUAAUGAGAUGGUUUUAAUAUCGAUUUGCCAUCGGCAUGUGAAAAAAUACGCAUUUCCUCCUCAAACAUUUUAGAUUACUCGGUAUUAUAAUCUAUUUUACACUGAAAAGUGUGCAAACCAAACACAUAUUGCGGAAAUCCAAAAGAGAUAACUGAUAAAUUUUAAUCGUGCAUUUUCCAGCUGGCCAACCUUUUAUUGAUGAUUGUAUUUACGAAUAAUUGGAUUAUUACAGGGUGUUCUAUAUUUAUUGUGCAAGAAGAAUAAUGGGUUGAACAAACACGAGUUGCAUGCAUUGUUCUGUCUCACUCGAUCCUCGCAAUUUUCCAGUGACGAUCUUUUGUUUAGCAGCCAUUAGUUGGUUCUCAAUAUUUCAUCAAGCUUGCAGAGCUUGCUGGUUAUUCUUCGAUAUCUGUUGUCGCAAACUGGUCCCAAGCAAAAGGAUACGACACAAACGAUGUAUUAUAUUGUAAUUAGCGAUGGAUGUACCUUCAAGGAGUCUUCUAAUAAGCCAUUGUGUAAGGUUGUAUUAGACGUAACGUUAUGAUUCCGGAAAUAUGUACCUAAAUCUACUCAUAAUGCAGCUGCGCGGCCAGAUCAAAAUGUCGAAUUCAUCAUCUGAUCCCAAUUCGAGAGUUUUCGAUAAUAGUUUCCUUCUUUCACGCUUUCUUGCACAAUUCAAUGAUUGAGGAUGUGGAGAAAUUUAAGGAAAUAAAUCCAUUACAGUAAACAAAGGAGUUGCAAUUCAAUGAUUGAGGAUGUGGAGAAAUGAAGGAAAUAAAUCCAUUACGUAAGAAUUUACAAUAUAUUUUUUAAUCAAUAAGAUUCUCAGAAUACAAAGUAUGAUAUUUUAUUUAUUGAUAUCAUAAUUUUUCACAAGAGUAAACAAAGUAGUUUUGAAUUAUUAAGGAUUAAAAGUACACUGCAAUAUCAGAAGAUUUUAUACUAAUAAAAUUAUGACGAAAAAUAAGAUUUUAUGUUUACUUGUCAAUAUAUUUAUCUUGCAUAAAUUAUAAAAUAUAAAAUAAAAGAGAAGAUAAAAAGAAAAGAUAAAGAAUAUACUUGGCAUACAUUUAACAUUAAAAUUUUCAAUAUAUCGAUUAAAAUCUUAUUUUCAUAUUUAGAAUUAAAUGGAGUAAACACAGAACACUAUUGUCCUUCUAUUUCUGUUAAUGUAAGAAUGUAUAAAAUUUCGUAUAAAUGCAAUUUUCAAAGGAUUUUUUUCUCAAUAAUUGAAUCCAUAUAUUUGA